ensembl:lncRNA
CCCCCCUCGCUCUCCGCGCCCCUCCUCGCUCUCCGCGCCGCGCGCCCCCUCGCUCUCCGCGCCCCCCUCGCUCUCCGCGCCCCUCCUCGCUCUCCGCGCCGCGUGCCCCCUCGCUCUCCGCGCCCCGCCCCCCCCGCUCUCCGCGCCGCCCCCUCGCUCUCCGCGCCGCACCGGCCUCCCCCGGGUCCAGCGCAGUCCUGCCAGGAGGGCCUGUCGCGCAUCCGGCGCGGAUGUCCUCCGGGGCCCCGAGCUAAGAGCUCCCAGCACGUCGACUCGUUCCGCCUUCCCAACAACCAGAGUGGGGCGGGUACUGUUAUUGCCCCCUUGCUCGGAGGCGGUCGCGGAGGCCGGACGACAGGCGAGGUCGGGAGCCGGAGGCGGUGCCGGUGCACAUCGCCCUUGGGGUCUGCAGGCAGUUGGCGCGCCCUUGGAUCACACGCUGGGAUGCAGCAGACAUUGGCGAGGUCUCCUUGGGGAGGGGGCGUGUAACUGCCUGCUGAGGAAGGAAACACCAGGAACUCCGGAGAGACCUUCACUGAGUUCUGGCGAAACGAAUGCUGCCACAGCAUGGCUGGGUGAGCGGCGUAUAGGUCUACACCUGGGAUCUGAACCUGCAAACCCGGCCCACUGACUCAGAGUUCCUGAACUUAACCACUAUGGCACCAGGCCAACACCAAGUUUUUACAAAGAUGGGC